UACGUAGGAUGCAAGCGCUAUCUGGAAUGAUUGGGCGUAAAGCGUCUGUAGGUGGCUUUUCAAGUCCGCCGUCAAAUCCCAGGGCUCAACCCUGGACAGGCGGUGGAAACUACCAUGCUGGAGUACGGUAGGGGCAGAGGGAAUUUCCGAUGGAGCGGUGAAAUGCAUUGAGAUCAGAAAGAACACCAACGGCAAAAGCACUCUACUGGGCCGACACUGACACUGAGAGACGAAAGCUAAGGGAGCAAAUGGG
rnacentral:rRNA from 1 species